GAUGAACGCUGGCGGCGUGCCUAAUACAUGCAAGUCGAGCGAACGGACGAGAAGCUUGCUUCUCUGAUGUUAGCUGCGGACGGGUGAGUAACACGUGGAUAACCUACCUAUAAGACUGGGAUAACUUCGGGAAACCGGAGCUAAUACCGGAUAAUAUUUUGAACCGCAUGGUUCAAAAGUGAAAGACGGUCUUGCUGUCACUUAUAGAUGGAUCCGCGCUGCAUUAGCUAGUUGGUAAGGUAACGGCUUACCAAGGCAACGAUGCAUAGCCGACCUGAGAGGGUGAUCGACCACACUGGAACUGAAACACGGUCCAGACUCCUACUGGAGGCAGCAGUGGGGAAUCUUCCGCAAUGGGCGAAAGCCUGACGGAGCAACGCCGCGUGAGUGAUGAAGGUCUUCGGAUCGUAAAACUCUGUUAUUAGGGAAGAACAUAUGUGUAAGUAAAUGUGCACAUCUUGACGGUACCUAAUCAGAAAGCCACGGCUAACUACGUG
rnacentral:rRNA from 1 species